rnacentral:rRNA from 1 species
UGGGGAAUUUUGGACAAUGGGCGAAAGCCUGAUCCAGCAAUGCCGCGUGUGUGAAGAAGGCCUUCGGGUUGUAAAGCACUUUUGUCCGGAAAGAAAUCCUUGGCUCUAAUACAGUCGGGGGAUGACGGUACCGGAAGAAUAAGCACCGGCUAACUACGUGCCAGCAGCCGCGGUAAUACGUAGGGUGCAAGCGUUAAUCGGAAUUACUGGGCGUAAAGCGUGCGCAGGCGGUUUGCUAAGACCGAUGUGAAAUCCCCGGGCUCAACCUGGGAACUGCAUUGGUGACUGGCAGGCUAGAGUAUGGCAGAGGGGGGUAGAAUUCCACGUGUAGCAGUGAAAUGCGUAGAGAUGUGGAGGAAUACCGAUGGCGAAGGCAGCCCCCUGGGCCAAUACUGACGCUCAUGCACGAAAGCGUGGGGGAGCAAACAGGACUAGAUACCCUGGUAGUCCACGCCCUAAAACGAUGUCAACUAGUUGUUGGGGAUUCAUUUCCUUAGUAACGUAGCUAACGCGUGAAGUUGACCGCCUGGGGAGUACGGUCGCAAGAUUAAAACUCAAAUGAAUUGACGGGGUCAUAGCUGUUUCCU